rnacentral:rRNA from 1 species
GUAGGUGGCAAGCGUUGUCCGGAAUUAUUGGGCGUAAAGCGCGCGCAGGCGGUCCUUUAAGUCUGAUGUGAAAGCCCACGGCUCAACCGUGGAGGGUCAUUGGAAACUGGGGGACUUGAGUACAGAAGAGGAAGGCGGAAUUCCAAGUGUAGCGGUGAAAUGCGUAGAGAUUUGGAGGAACACCAGUGGCGAAGGCGGCUUUCUGGUCUGUAACUGACGCUGAGGCGCGAAAGCGUGGGGAGCAAACAGGAUUAGAUACCCUGGUAGUCCACGCCGUAAACGAUGAGUGCUAAGUGUUAGGGGGUUUCCCGCCCCCCUUAGUGCUGCAGCUAACGCAUUAAGCACUCCGCCUGGGGAGUACGGCCCGCAAGGCUG